CAGACAGACUCUCGGUUCUUUUUUACAUUUUCAGUCUUUCGGUCUCAGUGGAAGAUGCGGCUCGCUGAAACGUGGCAGGAACGCUUUGGAGGAUAUCCUGAGGAAUCCAGCGUUACUUCUGAUUUAGGCAACUGAAUGCAGAGAGGUGAAACUAUUUCCAGGUCACUCACUGGCAGGAAGAUAAUUGUUGGGCCCAUGGAACUUUUUUACUGCAAAGAUUCAAAAACAAGAAUAAGCUGGUAGCCUGGCACUCGGAUCAAAGUCUCGGUAACCAGAUGGGCUGUACUCACUGGAUAGAGGGCAGGAAGCAGGACAGAACCACCAAAGCCUCACAGUGACCAGAAAGCCCAUGGCAGAAGGUGGGAGGACGUUUGUGUCUAUUCUGAGACAGAAAAGUAUUCAGUAG
rnacentral:lncRNA from 1 species